rnacentral:sRNA from 1 species
AAAUGAAAUUAAAUAGCUUGAUGAAAUUGGCAAAAUAUGCCAUUAUAUACCGAUAUACCGUAAAUACACCAUCGGUUUUAUCGAGGCACAGGGCUGCUUGGUAGUUGGGUAUUUGUGGAACUUAUCGGCGCUUUUUUUGAAAACAACAAUAUUAUAGCACAAUGGGAUUGUUUAAUGUUUAACCACUAACCUUUAGUAUCUAACUUAACGCUGGACUUAUGAUGACGCGGAGGUAGAUAAACGCCAGAGCCGAAGAGCCUGGGAUCUAAUUCAGAAAGCAAAUCAAUAUGUUUAAAGGUUUGACAGCGCCACUAACCAUACAGUAUACUGAAUUUCAAUUCUCCAAAAUCGUCAAUAAUUUCUACAUAAUACGGUCCUAAAACCUUAGUAGCUUUAGUUAUAAUUAUAUUUAUGAUACAACUUUGGAUUGAACCAAACUGCCAAGUGGAUACAUUGAGACGAAUUGCGGCGUAUGGAAGACGCAACGAAAACGAUCUCGGACGGGCUGCCUCCUGUGUGGUCGGCAGGACCAUAGGGAGCGCCGGUGGCAACAUACUUUAAGGAACAUCAACUGACCCACUGAAUUGAUCUACUUGUUUAUGUUUAAUACAAAAUUUAUUUGUUCUUAACACUUGUUUAUUCUUACAAAUUUUGAAUUGCAACGGUUAUACGCGGAAUUUCGAAUGCACUCGACCACGAUAAAUUGUGGAUUGGAAUUCUGAGUCGGCAAACUACGGAAGCUCUCAUCAUGAGAGAUCGAGAUUUGCAGGACAAAGGGUUAGCAAAUUUUGAAAAUAUUACGUUCAUGUUUUUAACGACGCAGAAGGGGAAGAAACUUAGCUUAAGGUAAUAAUAAUUUCAUGUGGAAAACACACCAAUGCCUCAACAAGCGGAAUGCAGAUAAUAAUGUUGUUCAUGUUUUGGCUGCUGCUGCUUCUGUUUCGGUAUGA